rnacentral:lncRNA from 1 species
AUUUAAUUUUGAUUUUUCGUAUAUCAGUUCCUUUUCACAGAAAAUCAAACACAAAUAUGUUUAUAUAUAUGACCAAUAUAGCAUAUUCAACACAUAUUACCAAUAGUCAUGAACACAUAUAUAUCCAACACAUGUUACUAAUAGUAGCAAGUUUCAUCCAUACAUAUACAUAGUUUCAUCAAUAUUACACAGUUUCAUCCAUAGGUAGCAAGUUUCACAAGGUCAAAACAAAAACUAAAUACAAGCACUCCAUCAACCCAAGCUUCCGUGAUCUUAAGCAAAUCUGUAAAAUGGGAAAGAAGAAAGUUAGAAGAAGAAGACUAGAAGAAGAAGAUUAUUAUGAUGCAGAAAUAUGCAUGGAUUGUCAAAACUUGCAUUAUCCUACUAUCACUAGUACAACAAAGCUGCAGGUUGGCAUAGUUCAUGAACCAUGUACAUCAUGACAAAUACAAUAUCAUCCAAUGCUCGACUAUGAACAAAAUUGAACAAUUACACCUCACAAAGGCAGAGCAUAGAACCAACAAGCAAGUAGGAGGGGUAUAAGAGAACUUGAGGAGCUCACUAGAGGGGGUUCUAGCCUAGGCCGAGCUUCAUCACCAUGGAUGCGGCUACGGGAAUCGGACGAGUCUACCAUCAUAGGAGCAGCAGCACCACCACCGCCAAAACUGGAAUGGCCAGAGCGAAUCACCAUCAUAUGUGUACAACUACCAGUGUUGUAGUACUUGAGGAAGAUGAAUAUAACACAACUCACACACAUAGGUACAAAGUAAUAGAAUACAGACAAGUUACUAAGUGGAGUAGUAGUAGAAGGGACCUAAGCUAGCACCCAUGCCAAGAGACAUACUACUAGUAAAUUGUUGUUAUGGGUGAGACAAGAGCACAGGUGGUGCUGCUAGAGAGGGAACUAUGGGCACUCGGAAUAAAUUAACAGAGUAUGCAUGCAUGGGAAAACUCAAGAGUAAAAUUGGAAGUAAAUUGCAGUAGAAACCACAGCAAUUUAUAUCAUGAGGAAUUUGCACCAGCCAAACAUAUAUUGGCCAACCACACAACACAUCCAUCCUUACAAGAACAACAGCAAUAUAGUAUAUAUAUGGACCAAGCUUGGACUCCGAAGAACUCAGAAGGGAUUGAACCUAACAGCCCAACUGAUGUGUGGCGACGGCAAGCACGGCAUCAAUUUUAUACAACACAUGCACCAUGAGAGUGAUUAGACCUACAAAUGAAGCAGUACACUUGUUCAAUCAUGCCUCAAAUGAACUGCUAGAUAACAAUAGAGCAAAUCACAUGACAACAGGGAGGUAAAAGCAGAACCAGAGGAUCAUGAAGCAGCCGGAGCUGGGAUUUUGCUUUUUCUCUGGAACUAACAAAACAUGCUAACAAGUUAUCGGAACCAUUCCAUGAUGCUACAUAGCAUUGAAACUAACAAUACAUGCUAAUAAGUCAUCAGAGCUACUGCAUGAUGCUACAUGACCCUAUCAAGAAACAAAUCAUCCAAUCAUGCCAACAUAAUCAAGCAAAGAAAAUCGAAAGCAUAAUAUUUGCUAUCAACGCUCACAUUUCUUUUUGUUAUCUAAGAGAUAGUAGGUUGUAUGUUUGCAGGGUAUUAGACAAGUAUACAACGAAGCAUAAAAUCGAAACUGACAAAUCUUUCUAAGAAUGGACACCUACAAGAACCUACAUUUUUGAAUAUUUCCAAGCCUGUGCAUUUUAACUAGUUAGACUUACAAAUUGUUCAGCAAGAAAAAAGAAGUCAUAUGGAAGUUACAUUUGCUUCCAGGCUUUAAGCCCAAAGGUGGGGAACUGGAGGAAGCCGCAGACGUGUACUUAUCUUGUACAGCAGAAAGUGGUAUAAUCAUGUUACAUGCACAAAGUUACUGUACUAGCCAGCAAAAAAGGAAAUCUAAUUUGAAUCCUUAUCAGCUUGAGGAUUGUCACUGCAAGAUGGCAGGAAUUUUGAGAAAACAGUUUGAUAGGCUUGCAAAUAUCUUAAGAAUAAUAAUAUAAAACUUCGGAAUAUGACGAAGGUGUUACCAUCGAAAAAACUUGAAUGCAAGUACGUUAUCAUCAAAUGACACUCCUAAUAAGGCAGAGACACUAAAGAUGUCCACAAUCAGCUUUAAUUUAAGAAACUGAAUCAUAUUAACAAAUCUAAGCUUUCAAAAGUGCAGAAGCAUAGUAGCAGUUAUAUAUUAAGUUUUAGGCCAACAAUAACAAUGAAUAAGCAUGUGGUUCCAAGCUCUGGUUCCUUGCUAGAAGUAAUCCAUAAACAUCAUAUGGGAAACUUCUUUGUUACUCAAGCAAAAUUCUUUCUCAAGAUAUACAUUGGAGUCUGCAACAUGCAGAGACAGAUAAUGCCUGCCAGACAUCAAUCUCAAAAGAACAUCUUCCAAGAAGGAACUUACAUUACACCUUGUCAGAGUUAUUCGAUAUGGCUGUUGUAGCGUUCUCUUUUAUCAGAUUUGGCUAGAGUGUAAUAGAAAAAAUGCAUAACUUGAUUCAAAACCAUUGAGUGAUUAUAUAUACUAACAAUAUAAUGUGUACUACUCGAAGCAGGAUACAUGUUAACUACAAUGUCAAUAUAUAUCAACAGUGAGAGGCUUUUGAGAAGAGCCUAGAUUUAGUUAUGUUUAAAUUCUGGGACAAGAUUGUUUGUAACAAUUUCUAGGCAGAACCACCAUAAGCCCUAGAGCUCCAGCCCUUUCCCAAAGCUUCUAUUACUCCAUAUUCUAUCCUUCAGCGAAGAAAUGUGAGUGCUAAGCAGCAAUGAUGGAAAAAAUUCGGAAAGUGCUGAUUUCUAACACUCUGCAUGUAACAAGUACUGCUACACUACCCAGGUGGCCAAAUUCAGAGCAAGAAAGGUCAAUGGGGAAAACCAAGGGCAUGCACUUUACUGAAAUAAUAAGAAGUUUUAACCCACAUUGGAACAAAUAUAACUGAAAUCCUAAUAGAGUCAGAAUAAAUCCUAAACCCGAAGAAUUAACAACCCAAUCCACUGUCACUGCUUGCAUAGCCAUUGUAUCCAAACAGGCCCUACAUUCAGUGCUACAUACAGUGAAAUGUUGGACAUAGACAAACAUGCAAUACUGUAAAUUGGGUAAAACUCCAACAUCUUGUGUUUCUUUUUUAGUAGCAGUUUAGUUACCGCAUUUACCUCGGCAUUCUAUCGAUGAAUCCAUCCCAAAAAUGGUUGCAAGCUAGCGCGACC